UACGUAGGGUCCGAGCGUUGUCCGGAAUUAUUGGGCGUAAAGGGCUCGUAGGCGGUUUGUCGCGUCUGCUGUGAAAUCUCAAGGCUCAACCUUGAGCUUGCAGUGGGUACGGGCAGACUAGAGGUGUGGUAGGGGAGACUGGAAUUCUUGGUGUAGCGGUGAAAUGCGCAGAUAUCAGGAGGAACACCGAUGGCGAAGGCAGGUCCC
rnacentral:rRNA from 1 species